rnacentral:rRNA from 11 species
AUCUAUGACCUAAAUACCCUAAAUGCACCAAGUCCCAUCUUGAUUUGGAAGCUAAGCAGGAACCGCCUGUGUUAGUCCCUGUAUGGGAGACCACAAAUGACUCUGAGUUGCCAUCUACU